UACGUAGGGUGCAAGCGUUGUCCGGAAUUAUUGGGCGUAAAGAGCUCGUAGGCGGUUUGUCGCGUCUGCUGUGAAAACCCGGGGCUCAACCCCGGGCCUGCAGUCGAUACGGGCAGACUAGAGUGUGGUAGGGGAGACUGGAAUUCCUGGUGUAGCGGUGAAAUGCGCAGAUAUCAGGAGGAACACCGGUGGCGAAGGCGGGUCUCUGGGCAGUAACUGACGCUGAGGAGCGAAAGCGUGGGGAGCGAACAGG
rnacentral:rRNA from 1 species